AAUGAAUUCGCUUACUUUCAUGGUUUAUUAGCGUAGGUUCAACGUAAUUGAGCCAUCCCCCUGAGCCCAAAACUAGCAGUAGUUUUGGGCAUUUUUUU
rnacentral:sRNA from 1 species